AGAGAGAGAAACGAGAAGAAGAAGAGGGUCUUCUUCUAGGGUUGUUUGUUUUCAUAUCUUUCCUCCCUCCAUCUUGAGUUUCCUGAGAGCAUCUCAGAUCUGAAACUCCUCCUUCUACUUUUCAUCUUUGGAAGAGUCCAAAUCAAGAAGGAGGCACCUGAUCAACCAUCAAAGAAGGAUCAGCGCAGUACUAGCAUACUGUGCUGAUUUC
rnacentral:lncRNA from 1 species